CAUCUACUCCCUCCAUCCGAAAAUACUUGUCAUCAAAACGGAUAAAAAGGGAUGUAUCUAGAACUAAUAUACGUCUAGAUACAUCCCCUUCCAUUCAUUUUGAUGACAAGUAUUUCCGGACGGAGGGAGUACUUC
rfam:Triticum aestivum genome assembly, contig: Triticum_aestivum_CS42_TGACv1_scaffold_643195_T_5AL-0.156167_7AS-0.102318